UUGUCAGUCGCAGCUCGCAUGUGUGAGGGAGAGGGCACCGUGGUUUUCCUAAAGAAGUCAGCUGAGACACGGGACGCUUUGUCGCCUUUGUACUCUCUUAGUCUUUUCCACGGUUUUUCUCAGUGGAUGCGAUCAGACCAGACCCUGAAAAAAACGGAAAAAUCCGAGGCGGACUUGUUGGAGGAUGUUGACUGUUGUGGAGUGGAGUUAGCCUGGUGUCAAGAAAAUGCCAGCCACAUCAGCUUUAAAGCUCACAUCAACUCACAGUAAAGACAAACUUCCACCAGAGGAUGAGGAGCUACAGUCAUCCUGCAGACUGAAACAAGGGUGGGUGGUUGGAAGGCUGAAUAAAGGCUGGUAGAUGACUGAACUCAAAGACCUGGCGCAGCUCAUCAUCAUUGCCAUGGGCUUUCGUCUUCUUCCUCUCCUCCUGUGGCCCAUACCUCCAUCCAGGGGUCCAGCAGAGCCAGUUAAGCCCAGGAUGGGGGCUAGUGAGUGGGCUGGGAAGGAUGGAGAAGGUCCCUGAAGGCUAGAAGCACCUCUGGAACUAACAGCAUGCAAGAGAAAUCAAUAUGAAAUGCAGAGCCUGCAUAGCUCUGAGUGGGGUUUCCUGUGUUAGUCUGUGGCCUAGGGGCCUGCAGACCUCCAAAGGACAGGCCCUGCAUGGCCCUUUCAGCUGCAGCCCCAGCUCCUCAGACUGGACCUCAAGUCCCAGUUUCCACUGGCUGUGUGUGGUUCUGCUAAAAGGGAGCUCUCCCCAAAUAAUCCCCAGACUGCCGAGAGGGAUAUUCUUUUCUGUUGUUUUUUUUUCCUACAUAAGAUUGACACAUCCCCCACAUUCUGCCCCUGGCUGUUCAAAAAACAGUUUGGAAGUUCUGCUUUUGACUCAGUCUCCAUCCUUAGCUCACCCGUUGUUUAUUCCCCAACCAGUUUUUAUAUUUGACAAAUAGACAGUACGAUCUUUAUUUUCUCUUUCACGCUUGGUUUGCUGUUUCUGAGGUGAGCUGUAGACAUGUUUGUUUGCACCAGAAACACGGGCACAUGCAGAAUGAACAUCUUUUUGCACCAUGAUGUCUAUUAUUGAAUUCCAGACUGACUGAUCAGAAAAGGGGGCUGAAGAUCACACAGCAGAGACACCUUCCCACCUAAUGGGAAUGUGGAGAUGUUCAAAGGGCAAGUAUCUCUCAUUAACACUCCACAUGUUCCAUUCUAUGAACAACUCUGAAUAUGCUCUCAUUUACUUAUAUUGCCUCAAAUAGUGUGUGUGUGUGUGUGUGUGUGUGUGUGUGUGCUGUUUCCUGAGCUUAAAGAAAUGUUUGCAUCCCUCAAAUCUGAACAUUUUAGUCACAUGAGAUAGCCACUCUCUAUCUGUAUAUUAUCUACAGCAGAGAGCUGUUGCCCUGUACAUGCUUGGCCUUGAGAGUGUUUGCCAGUGAGCAGCAGCAGCAGCAGUGUGCACCCGCUGCUCCCAAACUGCUACUGUCGUCACAGUAAUGCAGUGUGGGUUUCAUCCAGAUGGGCACAGCUUCAGACAAAAUGGCCGCCAGUCUUUUCCUCUGCCAAAGAUGGCUGGCGCAUCUCUGUUGUCUGCCAUCUGUGCAUCCGUUAGCUGUUGUCGAAUGCAAAUCGAGGCUAAUUGCAUUAGCAUAACCAUCAUGCUGUUGGCAUGUGCUGAUAAUUGCUCCUAUAAACGUGGCAUCAUGGCGGGCAAGCAGGAGUGAAGCGAUGUUUUAGAGUGUAUUCUGUGUUUGUGCUCCUCUUGGGGUGCAGUUUUUGCACCCUGAAAUGUGUUUGAUAGGUGUUCAGUACAUGUGAGAUCAAGAGUCUGGACUUACUGUGCCAUAUGGUGUGCACGUUUGCAUGUGAUUCCCUCGCAUGUAAAUGUGACAGUGUUCAAAGAUUAAGCUGGUGAUUUUUUUUUUAAAUCAGAUAGCACUCUGUAACUCACACACACACUCACACCAUUUUUACACACGGACACACAUAAUGCACCAAUGAAAGCAUUAAGCAGAGAAGCUCAGACAUGCACACAGACUCUAAUUAAGUAGAGAUCCAUAGGCUCAACAAACUGCAGACACAGACCAUAAUAGUCUUAUUUUAAUGCAUGUGGGUGUCUGGUUACCAUGGCACUGAACAAAUUGUGGGGGGACUGAUUUUGCUCAAAAAGAGCUGCACAUGAAACAUAUAAAUAGGCAGCAUUAUAAAAAUUGCAGCCUGAAGAACACUGGAUUGGAGCUUUGAAGUAUCAACACUAUUUCCUAUGAACACAUCAGUUAGAGGAAAAUUUGGAAAUAUUUACCCUGCUUCACAUUUGUUUGGGACUUGGGAACAGUACCUUGCAUAAAAUGACUAAAAAUAGUCAACGUGUCUGUUGUCAUAGCUUGGUAUAAUAACACUCUGAACUGUUAAAGGAUUGAAACAUUGUAUAAAUUAAUACCUCACGUUUUUGCAUUUCAGCAGCGUGUCGGUUUGUUGUCGCAUUUGAUUUGAGCGGGUCUUGCUUUUUUUUUUAGACCAUUAAUUCAUGCGAUGAGAGUCGUCCGAGCAGCUGAGUAACAAUGCAGCGUUCUUAUUUGCAUCCACCCAUCAAGGCAGCUGCUGCGCUGUACAGUUAGGUCUACUGUGGGCAGCAAAAUGGCGGUCAUGCGAAUCACACGGUCUGUCUGCUGGUCAUGGGAGCUGAGGAGAGGAGGGAGAGAAGGGGGGGAGGCAAGAUUUUGGGGUGUCUGGUUCGAUAGAGUGAGAGGGUUGCAGGGUCU